rnacentral:rRNA from 1 species
GAUGAACGCUGGCGGCGUGCCUAACACAUGCAAGUCGAACGAAGCGUAUCUGACGGAGAUUCGUCGAAGCCGGAUAUGACUUAGUGGCGGACGGGUGAGUAAUGUGUGAGCAACCUGCCUUUCAGUGGGGGACAACAUUUGGAAACGAAUGCUAAUACCGCAUAAGACCACAGUGUCGCAUGGCACAGGGGUCAAAGGAUUUAUCCGCUGAAAGAUGGGCUCGCGUCCGAUUAGCUAGAUGGUGAGGUAACGGCCCACCAUGGCGACGAUCGGUAGCCGGACUGAGAGGUUGAACGGCCACAUUGGGACUGAGGCACGGCCCAG